CAGUCGCCGCGGUAAUACGUAGGUGGCAAGCGUUGUCCGGAAUUAUUGGGCGUAAGGCGCGCGCAGGCGGAUCAGUUAGUCUGUCUUAAAAGUUCGGGGCUUAACCCCGUGAGGGGAUGGAAGCUGCUGAUCUAGAGUAUCGGAGAGGAAAGUGGAAUUCCUAGUGUAGCGGUGAAAUGCGUAGAUAUUAGGAAGAACACCAGUGGCGAAGGCGACUUUCUGAACGAAAACUGACGCUGAGGCGCGAAAGCCAGGGGAGCGAACGGGAUUAGAUACCCCUGUAGUCCCUGUCUCUUAUACA
rnacentral:rRNA from 1 species